UCAAGUGAAGAAGCGCAUACGGUGGAUGCUUGGCAGUCAGAGGCGAUGAAAGACGUUGUAGCCUGCGAUAAGCUUUGGGGAGUCGGCAAACAGACUUUGAUCCAGAGAUCUCUGAAUGGGGAAACCCACCCGAUGUAAGUCGGGUAUCUUAUACUGAAUACAUAGGUAUAAGAGGCGAACGCGGGGAACUGAAACAUCUAAGUACCCGUAGGAAAAGAAAUCAACCGAGAUUCCCUUAGUAGUGGCGAGCGAACGGGGACUAGCCCUUAAGUGGCUUAGAGAUUAGUGGAACGCUCUGGAAAGUGCGGCCGUAGUGGGUGAUAGCCCUGUACACGAAAAUCUCUUUGUCAUGAAAUCGAGUAGGACGGAGCACGAGAAACUUUGUCUGAAUAUGGGGGGACCAUCCUCCAAGGCUAAAUACUACUGACUGACCGAUAGUGAACUAGUACCGUGAGGGAAAGGCGAAAAGAACCCCGGAGAGGGGAGUGAAAUAGAACCUGAAACCGUAUGCGUACAAGCAGUGGGAGCCUACUUUGUUAGGUGACUGCGUACCUUUUGUAUAAUGGGUCAGCGACUUAUUUUCAGUGGCAAGCUUAACCGAAUAGGGGAGGCGUAGCGAAAGCGAGUCUUAAUAGGGCGACAGUCGCUGGGAAUAGACCGAAACCGGGCGAUCUAUCCAUGGGCAGGUUGAAGGUUAGGUAACACUGACUGGAGGACCGAACCGACUAUCGUUGAAAAGCUAGCGGAUGACCUGUGGAUCGGAGUGAAAGGCUAAUCAAGCCCGGAGAUAGCUGGUUCUCCUCGAAAGCUAUUUAGGUAGCGCCUCGUGUAUCACUGCUGGGGGUAGAGCACUGUUUUGGCUAGGGGGUCAUCCCGACUUACCAACCCAAUGCAAACUCCGAAUACCAGCAAGUGCAAGCACGGGAGACACACAGCGGGUGCUAACGUCCGUUGUGGAAAGGGAAACAACCCAGACCGUCAGCUAAGGUCCCAAAGUUAUGGUUAAGUGGGAAACGAUGUGGGAAGGCUUAGACAGCUAGGAAGUUGGCUUAGAAGCAGCCAUCUUUUAAAGAAAGCGUAAUAGCUCACUAGUCGAGUCGGCCUGCGCGGAAGAUGUAACGGGGCUCAAACCAUACACCGAAGCUACGGACAUGUUCUUUGAACAUGUGGUAGAGGAGCGUUCUGUAAGCCGUUGAAGGUGAGUUGAGAAGCUUGCUGGAGGUAUCAGAAGUGCGAAUGCUGACAUGAGUAACGAUAAUGAGUGUGAAAAACACUCACGCCGAAAAACCAAGGUUUCCUGCGCAACGUUAAUCGACGCAGGGUGAGUCGGUCCCUAAGGCGAGACUGAAAAGUGUAGUCGAUGGAAAACAGGUUAAUAUUCCUGUACUUCUAAUUAUUGCGAUGGAGAGACGGAGAAGGCUAGGCCAUCAGGGCGUUGGUUGUCCCUGUUUAAGGUGGUAGGCAGAGAUCUUAGGUAAAUCCGGGAUCUUGUUAAUGCCGAGAGCUGAUGACGAGCGUUCAUUAGAAUGCGAAGUGGUUGAUGCCAUGCUUCCAAGAAAAUCUUCUAAGCUUCAGAUAAUUAGGAACCGUACCCCAAACCGACACAGGUGGUUGGGUAGAGAAUACCAAGGCGCUUGAGAGAACUCGGGUGAAGGAACUAGGCAAAAUGGCACCGUAACUUCGGGAGAAGGUGCGCUGGUGAGGGUGAAGUAUUUACUACGUAAGCCUUUGCUAGUCGAAGAUACCAGGCCGCUGCGACUGUUUAUUAAAAACACAGGACUCUGCAAACACGAAAGUGGACGUAUAGGGUCUGACGCCUGCCCGGUGCCGGAAGGUUAAUUGAUGGGGUUAGCGCAAGCGAAGCUCUUGAUCGAAGCCCCGGUAAACGGCGGCCGUAACUAUAACGGUCCUAAGGUAGCGAAAUUCCUUGUCGGGUAAGUUCCGACCUGCACGAAUGGCGUAACGAUGGCGGCGCUGUCUCCACCCGAGACUCAGUGAAAUUGAAAUCGCUGUGAAGAUGCAGUGUAUCCGCGGCAAGACGGAAAGACCCCGUGAACCUUUACUAUAGCUUUGCACUGGACUUUGAAGUUGUUUGUGUAGGAUAGGUGGGAGGCUUUGAAGCUGUGACGCUAGUUGCAGUGGAGCCAACCUUGAAAUACCACCCUGGCAACUUUGAGGUUCUAACUCUGGUCCGUUAUCCGGAUCGAGGACAGUGUAUGGUGGGUAGUUUGACUGGGGCGGUCUCCUCCUAAAGAGUAACGGAGGAGUACGAAGGUGCGCUCAGACCGGUCGGAAAUCGGUCGUAGAGUAUAAAGGCAAAAGCGCGCUUAACUGCGAGACCCACAAGUCGAGCAGGUACGAAAGUAGGUCU
rnacentral:rRNA from 1 species